rnacentral:misc_RNA from 1 species
UGGUUCUGGCAUCGAUGAAGAACGCAGCGAAAUGCGAUAAGUAAUGUGAAUUGCAGAAUUCAGUGAAUCAUCGAAUCUUUGAACGCACAUUGCGCCCUUUGGUAUUCCGAGGGGCAUGCCUGUUCGAGCGUCAUUAUAACCACUCAAGCCUGGCUUGGUAUUGGAGGUCGCUAUCUGCGUCUCCUAAAAUCAGUGGCGGUGCCUGUAGGCUCUACGCGUAGUAAUACUUCCGCUACAGGGUCCUGCGGGUUACUUGCCAACAACCCCCAAUUUUUUUAAGGUUGACCUCGGAUCAGGUAGGGAUACCCGCUGA